UACGAAGGGUGCAAGCGUUAAUCGGAAUUACUGGGCGUAAAGGGUGCGUAGGCGGUUCGUUAAGUCUGUUGUGAAAUCCCCGGGCUCAACCUGGGAAUGGCAAUGGAUACUGGCGAGCUAGAGUACGGUAGAGGGUGGCGGAAUUCCUGGUGUAGCAGUGAAAUGCGUAGAUAUCAGGAGGAACAUCCGUGGCGAAGGCGGCCACCUGGACCAGUACUGACACUGAGGCACGAAAGCGUGGGGAGCAAACAGG
rnacentral:rRNA from 1 species